GGCAUGGGACCAAAAUAGCUGCCAUGAUGAUCCAGAGACUCCUGCCCUGCAGUUGCAGAUUAAGGGUCUGAGAAGUCCUGUAGUCAAGAGACCUACUUAAUUUCUAUAAAUUCCAUAUUGCCAAACCUUUAUAUAAUAAGUUUUGAUACCUCUCAAAACUUCUGCAGUCUACACUUGUGGAAACACUAUCGUUUCAUAAACCCAGCAAUUCAAUGGAAGUUUAUCAUUGGCUUCCCUAAAGUAAUUGCCAAAGUAAUUGCCUGGGAGCUCUUGUGCUCGGAGAGUUUGGAAACACAUUAGUCUUUUGCAGAAACAAGUUAGGGCAGCUGGGGAAGAAGACCCUGUUUUCCUUCCCUUCUCUACUUCUUCCUCAAAUGACUGGUAUCUUGAAUUUGCGUAACAGAGGCCAAAAGGUUUUGUGCUACAAUAAAAGAUAAGACUUGAAGAACAAGUCCUGGAUAUGACUAGGAGCAUGCUUGAGAGUCAGCGACAUGCAAGCCAAUGAUAUGAGAAGUAGCUUGAGGGUGGAUCUUUGUCCAGGGAGGAGAUGGGUUGAGGGGCUCUUGGAACCUAGAUAUUUGCAGUGGAAGCAGCACUGGGCUCCUUGGCACAUGACUGCUCUUUGUACUCAGGAUAAAACCCACAUUUGCUGCCCAGCAUCUGAGGCCCUGCUUACCUUGGGAAUGUUAUCAUGUUUUUUUUCCCCUUAGUUCCAGCCACACUAAGGUUUUGAGCCUGAGAUCACCAGGCUCCCUGAGUCCUUGGCCUGUACUCUCACCUGCAAUGUUGGCUUCCUCAACCCCUCAGGUCUCUUACUUAAUGCCCCUUCCCUUUAAGGUGCCCCUUCACUUAAUCUAAGUGCGCCUCCCUUCCUGCUGUCUUUUUAUUUGUGUGCUCUCUUGUUUCCUGUUUCCCGCUUGAGAGUCACCUCCUGGAUGGCAGUUCAGCUCUACUGUGUCCCCACUGGAGACGCAGGCUCCACUAUCAACCACACAAGAAAUAGGCUCUGAAAUAUUUGUUGGAUCCAUGAAUGGUUGAUUGGCUUUCAUUGGGCUACUGGGAGGAUUAAAUUAUGAAUAUAUAAAGGUGAUUACACCUCAUUCCUAUAUACCCAUUACAUUGAUGGAUAAGUAUUAGGUUCUCUCUCCUCUUGCCGGGGACUUUAAGAAGCUGCUGAAGAACCCAAGGGGAAGGUGGGAGCUGUUGAUGGUGUGGAAUUAGAGGUCUGAAGGAGUGAAGAGCUUUCCUCCUCAUCACCUGGGUCAGGACUGUGGAGCUCCUUGAGCCUUGAGAUUCCAGGCCCAGGAGCACAUCAUCAUUGUGUUUCUUGGGGCCCAGGCGCAUCUCCUAAGAACUCGUUCUUAGACAUGUUGUGCUCAAACUUGUGGCAUCAUAGCAGUAAUAUUUUACAAUAUACCUACAGUUUCCUGGGCAGAUCAUCAUGUGAGACUGGUUACAGAGAGAAGGAAAUUGUUUCACUUUUAUCUUCCUGGGCCACUUCCAGAUAUGAAUUGCAGAGACAUAUUUCAAUAUAUCCUCACCCAAAUAUGCUUUUAAAAGUACAUUUCUUUUAAUAUAAAAAGAUUUAUGUCCUUUGUGUUUGUUUAGAGGGUAAAUCUGGAUUUGUAUUUCUAGAAGUUACUUCCACCAAAGAAAUUUGAAAGGAAUAGUAUUUCAGAAAAAUCAAAACAAGCCAUAGAAAUCUAAUAUUUUUCAGAUACUAUAUUGGGCUGCAUGAAAACUAAAUCCAUAAUAUCAUACGUAUGAAUAAUGUAUUCUAAAGUAAAUACCAUAUUUCGUCAAAUUA
rnacentral:lncRNA from 1 species